rnacentral:rRNA from 1 species
GAUGAACGCUGGCGGCGUGCCUAAUACAUGCAAGUCGAGCGAACGGACGAGAAGCUUGCUUCUCGGAUGUUAGCGGCGGACGGGUGAGUAACACGUGGAUAACCUACCUAUAAAACUGGGAUAACUUCGGGAAACCGGAGCUAAUACCGGAUAAUAUUUUGAACCGCAUGGUUCAAAAGUGAAAGACGGUCUUGCUGUCACGUAUAGAUGGAUCCGCGCUGCAUUAGCUAGUUGGUAAUGUAACGGCUUACCAAGGCAACGAUGCAUAGCCGACCUGAGAGGGGGAUCGGCCACAGUGGAACUGACACACGGUACAGAGUCCUACGGGAGGCAGCAGUAGGGAAUCUUCCGAACAGGGCGAAAGCCUGAACGAGCAACGCCGCGGGAGUGAUGAAGGUCUGCGGAUCGUAAAACUCUCUUAUUAGGGAAGAACAUAUGUGUCAGUAACUGUGCACAUCUUGACGGUACCUAAUCAGAAAGCCACGGCUAACUACGU